GGGAUAUACCAGCCUCCUUUUCAGCCUGCUCCCUGCCCGAGCUCUGCCCGCACCUUCAUGGUUAUUGCUGAGACUGCUGGGGCAGCUGCUGUGCUAAACCAUGGCAGGGAAAUGGCCCUGUUGGCGCUGCCACGGAGGGCGCAGACACGCCAAGACCCCUGGCACCUGCUGGGUUUGGAAAGCCAGCCCUGCACCCACAGCACGGGCAUGGCCCCGGCAGCGUGGGCUGCACGGAGCUGGUUUACUCCCCUGACUCGCCCCACGGCUGGAGCCAGGAUCAGGCCUGCAGCUGGCGUGAACCGGCCCAUGGAAAUUCGGUGGAGCCCUGCCAGGCAGCAGCAGCUGAAGCGCUGGCACCAGAAGCUAUUUUUUAUGCAUAAAACUAGCUAUUUUUGCAUGACCUUUGGUUUCACAGCAGCACCAGCAAGGCGUGCAGGCUGCCUUUCCCUUGCGAAAGCGCGAAUGGAAGAUUUUUUAUUUUUUUUAUUUUUUUUUUUUUGCCGGACGCUUGCUUCAAAGCCGCGUUCAGGGCAGAUAAGUGAUAGCAUCUGUCAGGGUGCCAUUUUUGCACUGCGCAGCCAGCGUGGGAGCACUCCCUGUCCCCCUGCUCCCUGCCUGCUAAAAACAACUGAAACUAAUUACAUACCAGGAAUACCAGCGGCCCCGCAAAGCCUCUGCCGCACAGCGGCUCUCCCUCUCUCCCUUUUUUCCCUUCCGCCUGAUUCACCAAGGCUUUGGCCGCGCUCCAGCUUUUGGGAGGGUGGGGAGAGGCAAGGGGGGGGCUUGGGAGGGCAGCGGCUUUUUGAGCUCACCGACAGCCUCCCCUCGCUGCGGUCCUGUGCGCUCAUUUCCACUUCACAGAUGCUGCUGAGCUCUGCCAUUUGGGGGGGGGCAAAUCCCAGAAGUGGAAGGGAGCGUGGCGGGGAGGGAGAGGAUGAAAGCAGCGAAAAGCUGCAUUUAUUAAGCUGUUUUUCUUGCAGUGAAAAGAAGCAUUUAUCGGUGAUUUCAUAUAACAUGGGAGACGUGGCUUCCUGCCAAUUUUCGGAGGAUGCAAACAACCCGCUGACAUCAUAUGCUAAAUAUAGAAGAGUUCCUGCUUUAGGUGAAUAAAUAAUGCAGAUGCAAAAGCCCAGGUCUUCAGUUACACGUUCAUUAGGAUCGGUCUGUCAGGUUCAGACAAUCGAGAGAAUAGCAUCCAGCUUCAGCACCGAGUGAUAGGUGAAGAAUGCAAAACAACUGCAGACAAUAGAUCAAAGGCAGCGGGCAGGAGAAAGAGUCCGGAGCCAUUCUCACUGGGUGGAAGGGAGACACGAGGGCAGGAAGCAAGAAGACAAUGCGCCAUAAAAGCUGCCGCAAGGUGUUGGAUCAAUGACAACAUCUGCAUGAAUCCUUCCCCUCACAGCCCGGGCUACAAAAGAAGCUGUUACCAUGGAAACUGGCGCAAAAGCAUCAGGCAGAAGGGAGAAGGCUGCAAUGAAAGGUGGGAGAGGGAAUAUUUUUAGAUCGCUUAGGAGGAACGCUACCAAAUGACAUCAUCCUAUCUCGUUAUUUGCACCAGGGCUAUGUAACAUGUUGCGGCGUCUGCUCCGGGCUGUUAAAUGGAAAAACGUUAUUAUGCAUGUGAAUUAUAAAUACUGCGGUGAAACUCAAGCUCGGGAGUUAUUAGACAUCACUAUUCUGUAAUAAAGAAGAGCAUUUAAUACA